ensembl:lncRNA
GGAGUAUUUGCCGGCCUUAUAUUUAAGUCAUUUAAUAUGGACAAUGGGGUAGAUGCUUUAAUGAAAGCUUGUGAGUGUACAAGCGAAAUUCAAUUUACAAAAAAUAAUUUUGUAAUUUCAAAAGAACCUAUUAGGCUAUUUUCCAUCACCACUACUUAGUGUUCAAAAUGAUCAUUCUUUAUGCUACGAUGGACUUGAUGUAACCUCUCAGUUCAUCUACUGUGUCAAACAGGAAGGUUUAUCUCCCUUCACCCUCUCUUUUAGCCAGCUUUCUUCUAAUUGGCUGCCCCUCCUAAACAGGUCAUUUGGCUGAGACGACCAAAUCAGGGCUAUAUGACGCCAUGCACACCCAAGAGUUAAAAAAAACUCUUCAAAAUAGUAUUUUAAACCAGUCUAAAACCAGAGAUUUACAUAUAUGCUAUUAUAGUUAGACUGUUAAACGAUAUAUAUGCAGACAAUAAGACAAAAUCUAAGUACAUUGUUGUUACUGUUGUUGAGUCAUUGUGUGAAAUAUAGUCUCUAAAUUGCAGAGGAAGCUGUAUUUGAAUGAAUGUGCUUUGAAACUUUCCAUUUAGAUGACCAACACUUGGAUAAGAGUGCCUUCUCGUGGGGUUUGAGCGCCUCCUCCCUCCAGAACCCUUUAUCUCAGGGCAGCCGCUGUGCAAGGGGACCUGAGUGCUUUGAGCUGAAAACCAUCUGUCAGAGCAGCGCCCUGCCUCAGGCCCACGUACAGCCAGCAACAGAGACCAGGAGGAAGCUACCGCAAACAGAAUACCAGUUCAACUAUGGCCCUAAGAUACAGAGUGGUCAAAGGAAGCUCUGUACUCAGCAGGAUGCCUUCUCCGAUCGCCCACCUUGUCACUGGUCCUCAGUCUGAAUCUUGACUCAAUACAGAUCAUUCAGAAAAAAAUGCUGAAUUUUUUGUAUUUUGAUUUAGACUUAAAGUGCAGCAUGUUAGUAUGAAAUGUUUUAGAGCUGCUUUGUCCAAACACCUCCGCAGAAAAGUGAGAUAGCGGUCAAGGCUUUUGUCCGUGAGUCUCGGUUAUCUCGCCGAGGACACAAAAGCUGACAGCGAGUCACAACGUAGCAGUAAACCAUCUGCUGACAGGAAGACGGUAAGCUGUGAACUUGCUGGCAUCCUCGUGCUGGGCAGAGGCUUAAGUGUUCACACAGCUGUGGUGGAUGAAUUACUUAGUUUUUUGGGGGGGGGUUUAAGUGUCAAGAGAUGUAUUCUAAGACACUUCUUCAGCUUUGAAUCAGAGAGGAGAAACACACAGUUUUUACUUGCAGCAAGGGCAGGCGCAGAACACUCGCACGGAAGUGAGGGCUCCGAGACUCACGCCCUGCCACUGCCCUGGUCUUUAUUUAUAUUGGUUCAGUGGGUGUGUGUGUGUGUGUGUGUGUGUUGGGGGGGGGCAGAGUGUGACCCCAUACAGACUUCCCUAAACCUGCUGGUCUGGAAGUCCAACAGUUCAUCUAAACAAAAGGCACUUAGCUUAAAACAGACAUAGAUACGUUUAUCCUAUCAUAAAACAAUAACAGAAGGUAUGCCCUUUCCCAUGCUCCCAGGAUGUCGGUGUGAAUGCCAGAACACCCUGGAAUGCACACAAAGCCUUUGCAGCCUACUAAAGAUCGCACAUGCUAUCACUACACAAUCGAUUAUACACCUCUAAGCAUAUAUGGAAACCUGUAUCAUUAAAAGAUUAUACUCUUUUUCAUUCUUAUGAUCCAAACUCAUAGUGCUGCACACAGUAGCGUCCCUGUGCGAUGACCUUGGUUCCACCUGGGUGCUGUAUAUAGAAGGUGUGGUGACUUCAGGGGCCAUAUAUCUCUGCUCCUUCAUAUCAGCACACAUCAUCACCAGUCGAGGGAUUUGCAGUCUGUGGCGUUCACAUUCAUGGAUUUCAGGCUCCUCUAGUCUGUUAACAUUUCGAUCCUCUUCCUUUUGUUCCUGUUUCGCUUUGGAAAUGAGCACCGACACAGUCAUGAGCUCAUUUCCAGGAUAGUCACCAAAAACCAAUCCUUCAUCUCUUUUUCUGCAGACAUAAUCCUGAUGUCACUCCUCCAGUCUGCUUUCAGAUCCACACU